rnacentral:rRNA from 2 species
AAAACAACUCUCAGCAACGGAUAUCUUGGCUCUUGCAACGAUGAAGAACGCAGCGAAAUGCGAUACGUAGUGUGAAUUGCAGAAUUCCGCGAAUCAUCGAGUCUUUGAACGCAAGUUGCGCCCGAGGCUUGACCAAGGGCAUUUCUGCCAGAGCGUCACC